rnacentral:rRNA from 1 species
GACAGAGGGGGCAAGCGUUGCUCGGAAUCACUGGGCGUAAAGGGCGCGUAGGCGGGAUGGCAAGUCGGUCGUGAAAUCCUUCGGCUCAACCGAAGAACGUCGGCCGAUACUGCCGUUCUUGAGGGAUGCAGAGGAGAUUGGAAUUCCCGGUGUAGCGGUGAAAUGUGUAGAGAUCGGGAGGAACACCGGUGGCGAAGGCGGGUCUCUGGGCAUUUCCUGACGCUGAUGCGCGAAAGCGUGGGGAGCGAUCCGG